rnacentral:rRNA from 1 species
GUCUACGGCCAUGCCACCCUGAACAAGCCCAAUGUCUGAUCUCGGAAGCUAAGCAGGCUUGGGCCUGGUUAGUAAUUGGAUGAGAGACCACCUAGGAAGACCAGGUGCUGUAGGCA